rnacentral:rRNA from 1 species
GACGAACGCUGGCGGCGUGCUUAACACAUGCAAGUCGAACGGAAAGGCCCUGCUUUUGUGGGGUGCUCGAGUGGCGAACGGGUGAGUAACACGUGAGUAACCUGCCCUUGACUUUGGGAUAACUUCAGGAAACUGGGGCUACUACCGGAUAGGAGCUCCUGCUGCAUGGUGGGGGUUGGAAAGUUUCGGCGGUUGGGGAUGGACUCGCGGCUUAUCAGCUUGUUGGUGGGGUAGUGGCUUACCAAGGCUUUGACGGGUAGCCGGCCUGAGAGGGUGACCGGCCACAUUGGGACUGAGAUACGGCCCAGAGUCCUACGGGAGGCAGCAGUGGGGAAUAUUGCACAAUGGGCGGAAGCCUGAGGCAGCAACGCCGCGUGCGGGAUGACGGCCUUCGGGUUGUAAACCGCUUUCGGCUGUGACGAAGCGUGAGUGACGGUAAUGGGUAAAGAAGCACCGGCUAACUACGUG